UGCGGCAGCGAACGUAUCACCCAAGACAACUUUACGGAGUUGACGAUUGACGGAGCGAAGCGACGUCAAAGCGUUCAUUAAAGUCGAGUUGGCUUAGGGAUACGUUCGUUGGGUAGGGGAGCGUUCUGUAAGCCUGUGAAGGUGGCCUGUGAGGGUUGCUGGAGGUAUCAGAAGUGCGAAUGCUGACAUAAGUAACGAUAAAGCGGGUGAAAAGCCCGCUCGCCGGAAGACCAAGGGUUCCUGUCCAACGUUAAUCGGGGCAGGGUGAGUCGACCCCUAAGGCGAGGCCGAAAGGCGUAGUCGAUGGGAAACGGGUUAAUAUUCCCGUACUUGGUGUUACUGCGAAGGGGGGACGGAGAAGGCUAUGUUGGCCGGGCGACGGUUGUCCCGGUUUAAGCGUGUAGGCUGGUUUUCCAGGCAAAUCCGGAAAAUCAAGGCUGAGGCGUGACGACGAGGCACUACGGUGCUG
rnacentral:rRNA from 1 species